CUCCUCCGUAAUUUACUCCCCCAUAUGCUCCCACAUAAAUUUCUUUACUUCUAACUUUCUCUCUUUUAAUCAUUACACAUGUGAAACAUCGGUUUUGACAAAAAAAGUAGUACAAUAUUUUUGAGAUGAUGAUAUUUGAGGAAAUAGGGUUCUGUGACGAUCUUGAUUUCUUCCCUGCUACGCUAAAGAAAGUGGAAGUGAAAGUGGUUGCCCCAAAGAAUCAGAUUGAGCCGGAUUCUGUGGUGGAAGAUGAUUAUAGUGAUGAGGAGAUUGAUGUUGAUGAGCCUAACUUUGAUGUUCAUGAUCAAUUCUAUUUGCUGAGCUUAUAUUCUAUGCUAUGUACUGAUUUGUCGUAACAAAGACUGCAAGUGGGUGUUGAGGACGUCUUCUAUGAAUGAAUCAGAAAUUGAUGCUUAUAUGAGAAAUGUGCGUUGAAGGCGUCUUAUCCUUAUUCGUAUUCCUUAUACAUAUAUUGU